CCGCAUCUGUGCAUGCAGCAUAUCAAUAAGCGGAGGAAAAGAAACUAACAAGGAUUCCCCUAGUAACGGCGAGUGAAGCGGGAAGAGCUCAAAUUUGAAAUCUUAAAGGGUUUCCCUUUACGAAUUGUAGUUUAAAGAAGUGUUUUCUGUUGAGGUUUUGGUAAAAGUUCUUUGGAAUAGGACAUCAUAGAGGGUGAGAAUCCCGUAUUUGACCUUUACUUUCAACUUUGUGAUACACUUUCAAAGAGUCGGAUUGUUUGGGAAUGCAGUCCAAAAUGGGUGGUAAAUUUCAUCUAAAGCUAAAUAUUGGCGAGAGACCGAUAGCGAACAAGUACCGUGAGGGAAAGAUGAAAAGAACUUUGAAAAGAGAGUUAAACAGUACGAUGAAAUUGUCAAAAGGGAAGCGUUUGACACCAGUGUUGUUUUUCUGAAAAUCAAUUAAAGAACUGUUUAUGCUAAGUUGUUUAGACUUUAUCAGCUAACUGUUUAGUUUUGAGCUUUUCUUUAAUGCACUUUUCAGUUAACAAGUCAACAUCAAUUUCUUUUGCUGUAAAAAAGCUUGAGGAAGGUGGCUUGAGAUUCGUCUUAAGUGUUUAUAGCCUCUUGCCUAUGCAGUCGGAGAGAUUGAGGUCUGCAGCGUAGAUCCUUCGGGGCUAAAUGCAUUUGUGCUAAGUUAUAGCAUUUUAUAGACAACUUGUUGACUAUGAUUUGUCUUGUAGCUUACUCGCUUAUGUUAUUUUACCUACGCUUAGGAUGUUGAGUCAUCACACAUCUCU
rnacentral:rRNA from 1 species